rnacentral:rRNA from 1 species
AACGAACGCUGGCGGCAUGCCUAACACAUGCAAGUCGAACGAGACCUUCGGGUCUAGUGGCGCACGGGUGCGUAACGCGUGGGAACCUGCCCUUAGGUUCGGAAUAACUCCCCGAAAGGGGUGCUAAUACCGGAUAAUGUCUUCGGACCAAAGAUUUAUCGCCUUUGGAUGGGCCCGCGUUGGAUUAGCUAGUUGGUAGGGUAAAAGCCUACCAAGGCGACGAUCCAUAGCUGGUCUGAGAGGAUGAUCAGCCACACUGGGACUGAGACACGGCCCAGACUCCUACGGGAGGGAGCAGUGGGGAAUAUUGGACAAUGGGCGAAAGCCUGAUCCAGCAAUGCCGCGGGAGUGAUGAAGGCCUUAGGGUUGUAAAGCUCUUUUACCCGGGAUGAUAAUGACAGUACCGGGAGAAUAAGCUCCGGCUAACUCCGUG